UACGUAGGGGCUAGCGUUGUCCGGAAUCAUUGGGCGUAAGCGUGCGUAGGCGGUUUGUUAAGUCUGUCGUGAAAGCCCCGGGCUCAACCUGGGAAUGGCGAUGGAUUACUAGGCGAGCUAGAGUACGGUAGAGGAGAGUGGAAUUCCCGGUGUAGCAGUGAAAUGCGUAGAGAUCGGGAGGAACAUCAGUUGCGAAGGCGGCUCUCUGGACCAGUACUGACGCUGAGGCACGAAAGCGUGGGGAGCAAACAGG
rnacentral:rRNA from 1 species